GCAUUCCAGCAGAUGACUCGACUCACUUUGAUCUGGACGUUUACUUCCAGCCUGCAGCGGAUUUCAUUCAUAAAGCACUGAAGUCACCUGGUGAGUUCACCAUCCAAACAAAAAAAAAAAAAAAAAAACUCACAUGUUGCAAGCCUUUCAAUGUCACCGGGUACCACAAUGUAACACAGCUUGUACUGAAACUAUCAAGGAGAGGAUGAGUUGGGAUUGAAGAGACUUGGCCUGUUUGCAAAAGAACCUCAAAUGAACAAAGAUGAUGAAUUGUCGGAUCUAUUUUUAGCUCCAAACUAGGAAAAAAAAAAAGGAAAAUGAAAGGGCACAGUGUGAGACGGGAAGGUUCUGGUGCACUGCAUCAUGGGAAUGAGUCGCUCGUCGACUUUGGUGCUGGCCUACCUCAUGAUCUACCAUCACCUCCCGCUCAAAC